ACCAGAUGCCUUCCAUCUCUGUGUCUUUGGAAUAAUCGUCCCCCUUGUGUUAAGGCUAAGCUGGAAAGUGAUGCAUCAGCAGAGAGCCAGGCAGAGGAUCAAAGGUGGAACAUGACAGGCCCCUCUCUCUUUCUUCAUCCAAAUGGCUACUGCUCUGAUUGUCCAUUAUUCGAUCAACUAUUAACCCCAGGGAACAAAAUCUAGAAUUUCCUAGGAAGGCAUUAUUAGCCUCUUUUCCUGCAGACAUUGUGGUGCAUCUUGGGAAGAGAAACUCAAAUUAGCCACCAAAAGGGGUAAACCAAAUAAAGGAUAUGAGAAGCCCAAAGCCAAUUUCUUCUUGCCUGAAGGAUUGUGACAGCAAGAUAUCAGAGAGGGGCCUGAGGGGAGAGUGGCCCCCUGGCACUGAGGUUCGCAUGCUGGGCAGAAGUUCACAUGCCCCAUGGAUGACAUAGACGUGGUGAUGACCGUGAGAGCCUGGCUUUCCGCAUCUCAGCAGCUGUCAACGUUUCCAGAUGACUGGCGCUCGCCCUCUCCCCACGCCCCACGCCAAACAAAGCUCCCAAACUUUGCUGCAGUAUUUGACCUUGGAGCAGAAGAGAGAAAGUCCAAAUACUGACUGAGGUUGGAUUUCCUGACAGCCUUUCUGGGUGGCUGCUUGGAGUCAAGUUUAAGUUAAUUAAAGAAAAUAAGUUGCCCAAGUGUUUUGAAUGGAGCCCAUUGCACCUCUCACAGUCUAACAGAAUUAGGACUAAUACAAGAUUGGCCCGUCAGCCCUGCAUUUCCCAUAGCCGGCCCACCACUCUUGAAGCCGCAUCAGGACCUGACAGCCAUUAUGCCAGUAUUGUCUGCUUGUUGUUUGUAAUUGCCCCAUUGGCCUAUAUGCACUAAUAUUAAGAUCUGUAUUUUUGAUUUUUACUUUAUUUCUCUGAUUAUUGAAAUAAAAUAUGUUCACUCUAGAAAAUUAGGAAAUGCACAAGUCCUUCAUGGAGAAUUAAAAAUGUUUCUCAGAAAUUAACUUCUGAUUUUUUGGCCUGAAUUAUUUUAUUUUUCCUGUAAACUCAUAAAUACUUCAGUAAGACUGUAGUCGAUGCCAGAGACUGUUCUAAGGGCUUCACAUUCAUUUAAUUUUCAUGACCCUGCGAAUUCUGUAAUUUACAACAUUUUUUGAUAAGGACUCUGAGGCUCAGAGCAAUUAACUAAGUUUGCCAAUGUCACACGGGAAAUAAAGGACAGUGGUAGCACUUGAACCCAGGGCUUUUGAAUCUUUCAUUCAAAUACAAUAGUGCCUUAGUCUGAGCUAAAUGAUACAUAUGUUUUGUUGUCUUUUUUCCCAUUAAUAUUACAAUGAUAUAAACACUUCCACUUGUCAUUAAAAUAUUUUCAUAAAUGUCAUGCUUAAUAACUGAA
rnacentral:lncRNA from 1 species